rnacentral:rRNA from 1 species
CACCGCGGUUAUACGAGAGGCCCGAACUAACAGACCUGCGGCGUAAAGGGUGGUUAAUACUUGUACAAAAACUAAAGCCGAACACCUUCAGGACUGUUAUACGUGCUUGAAGGCAAGAAGCCCUUAAACGAAAGUAGCUUUAAUACUUUUGACCCCACGAAAGCUGUGAAA